GAGGAGGUGGGAGGUGGGCAGAGUGGGCUCUGGGGUGGGGCAGAUGAGGAGGGCCCGGGUAGCUGUGGGUCUGUGCCCACCUGGCCUGGCCCCCAGGCACCUCCUCUGCUUGGCCCCCAGGUUCUCCCAGCACCCUGGGCUUCUUCAAGUCCCCCUGGCCUCUCUCCCUCUCAUCUCAGGUGGCUUCCCAGGCAGCCCUGCCCCUAAAACCAGCACCUAGAGCGUCCCUGCCUGUGCCAGCACCCUCUCCCCACCCGGCUCUGCCAGCCUGAUUCCCUCACGUCUGAGUUUCCUCCACCCGAUUUCCUGGCAUAUUUUAUGUCACGGUCCUGCACGGUUGUCAGGUGCCCAGGCCUGUCUUGGGAUGGAGGGGGCUCUGACAGUGAGCGAGACAGCAAAUGUCCCAAGACUCAGUUUCUCCGUUUCUGAGCAGGGCUUCCCCCUGCCAAGGACUCGGCCGAAUGGCACGUGGGGACACUCCCGGUGCCCUGGCCCAGUGGCAACCCUCCCCCGGCCCCUUCAUCUGUGUCCCACAUGCUGGGGCGCUCACGGAUUUUGUGAAUGAACAAGGAACAAGGGAGGCAGCGCCUUUGAAACCCAGGGUAGGAGCACAAAGCCACCAAGACCCGGCUCUCCUGCACACCCU
rnacentral:lncRNA from 10 species